GAAGUGGGAGGGGACCGAGCCUCUCUGGGCUAGAAGAGGAAGUACGGAGCAGACAAGCCCAGACAAAGAGCAUCCUGAGCUAUGCUCUACUCUCUCUUGGCCUUUCUCCUGGGCACCUUCUGGGGUGUCGGUGCUCAGAUCAUCCAUCAAUGGCCAGCUUCCAGAGUGCAGCCCGUGGGCAGUCCACUCUUGCUGGAGUGCACCAUAAAAGGCCAAUCAAACCCCAACCUCUACUGGUACUGGCAGGCGACAGGAGGGCCCCUGCAGCAGCUCUUCUACUCCAUUAGCAAGGGCGAGGUGGAUUCGGUGUUGUCUCGGAACCUCUCAGCCUCCCGGCCCCAGGAUGGCAAGUUCACCCUGAGCUCUGAGAAGGCGCUCCUCAGUCAUACUGGCUUCUACUUCUGUGCCUGGAGUCUCACACUGAGUGGGGUGUGGCAGGCAUCUGUGCAAAAACCACACCCUUCUCCUUAGUCCUACCACCGCAGCUAGGAGCCCUCACAAGGCAUGGGCGGAGGGAGCUUCUGGCGGUGAGCCAAAUUGAAGUAAGGAAAACAACAUGUCAGAGCUCUUCAAAGAAACGUAUUCGAUUCCUCAUUCAGUGACUCACAUGUGCAGAAGCCGUGAGUUGCCUACACAUAAUAAAGUUUCCAGGUUAUGGAUAUGUGGUAGUAGGAUAGUCCUCAAAGCGUGCUACUCUCUCUCAUCAAGUACCUCACACUUGUCCGAAAUUCCCGUUCAGCCGCACUGGGCAAGCUCAUGGGCAUAUGUGGCUGAAAGAAGUGGACUCCACCUGUAGCUGCACGCGAUGCCAGGGAGACUGGUGAGCAGGCAGGGCAACGCCAACUCGUGUAGCUAAUUUCAUCUCUGAGAGCAACCCCAUCUUUCUGCUGAGGCUAGGAGCUUGGGCCUGAGGCAUUAGUCAGGGAGGAACAAGCCAGCAUUAGACAGCUAUGCAGGGUUAGAUGCUAAUACAGGCAGGGUCUCGGCGUUCUGACUGAGACCAAAUGUAGAAGUUUUACAGGAAACGUUCAUUCAGGAAUUGCCACUGCUCUUUGUUUUUGUAGUUGUUGUUGUUUUGAGACAGACUCCACUGUGUAAUCUAGGCUUGCCUCGAAUCUGAAGCAACCCUCCUGACUCAGCCUCACGAGCUGUGCCUCCAGGACCAGAAUGGUCUUCUUUUGUCAUUUUAACUUUGCAGUGUUUCUGUCUCUCAUCUCUUCUCUUGUAUCAAAACAGAGAUGUGGCAUAAGAAAUUCAGGAGGCUGAGGGUGAAGAGGAGGACUGUGGUGUG